rnacentral:rRNA from 1 species
GACGAACGCUGGCGGCGUGCCUAAUACAUGCAAGUCGAACGCUUCUUUUUCACCGAACUUCGGUUCAUCGAAAAAGAGGAGUGGCGAACGGGUGAGUAACACGUGGGUAACCUGCCCAUCAGAAGGGGAUAACACUUGGAAACAGGUGCUGAUACCGUAUAAUGCUUUUUCUCGCAUGAGAGCAAGCUGAAAGGCGCUUUUGCGUCACUGAUGGAUAGACCCGCGGUGCAUUAGCUAGUUGGUGAGGUAACGGCUCACCAAGGCCACGAUGCAUAGCCGACCUGAGAGGGUGAUCGGCCACACUGGGACUGAGACACGGCCCAGACUCCUACGGGAGGCAGCAGUAGGGAAUCUUCGGCAAUGGACGAAAGUCUGACCGAGCAACGCCGCGUGAGUGAAGAAGGUUUUCGGAUCGUAAAACUCUGUUGUUAGAGAAGAACAAGGAUGAGAGUAAAAUGUUCAUCCCUG